GUCCAUUAAAAUGCACCUGCUUCGGUACUGUGGCUUGUAUUUGCGGCUGUGCGUACGGUAAAGCUGAUUAGGCGCGCAUCGUGACGACAUCUACGUAACUCUCUCACUACACUAUAGAAACUCUGUGACAGACAGCAGCCCUGCCCUCACUCGUUUCUUCAACCGUCACACAUAAAGCGACAUAAUGGGAUCCUGCGCAAAACACAUAGCAGACAAAAUCGUUGACCAGCGCUCUAUUACUGAAUCUGGUUCUUGCAACUGAGCGCCUUUUCUACUCCGAAUUCUGACUACAUAUUUACAAAAGCUGAGCAACCUUUCCAAAGCUUCUUUCUGUUCUAAGGGGAUGGGGGAAUGAUCAACCCCGACUCCCCAUCUCCAGCUCAGUUGUAUCAGUUGUAAGAGCGUUUUGCAGUAUGCCAUCCCCGAGAAGAGGUGUCGAUCACCGACCGAGAACCGCCGCCACGCUUCUAACCCAGGUUGCUGUCUUUGCAACCUUCGUUGCUAUGAGCGAAUGCAUGCCAGGGUCUUCUUCAGUAUGCCCGCGGAGCUUAGACUGUGCCCGAGCAGGGCGUCAUUUCUGCCAGCCGGGCAGCUCACACUGCGGCCCCUGCCUCAACCCGCUGGUAGAGAACUCACAUGGCAGAUGCAUAGUGAAGAGGAGACACGCUCACGCCCCCCAUUUUGCUGGAAAAGUGACCACGUUCCCUGAAGUGGAUGAGGAGAUAGACUUCCUGUCCACCAUCAUCAGCCAACGGAAGGAGUCGGGGGUCAAACAUCCAGCUCCUCUCUCUCAGGAUUUUUCCAAAGCCGAGGAGGAAGAUGACCGAUCCAUGAUCCUCACCCAACGGCCUACCACAGAGCAGCCUACGACACACAGUACCACUACAGCCCCGUAUAACACGACUACAGCCGCCCCCACCACCACCCACAUCCCAGCAGUUCGUAGUGGGCCCCUGAUCAUCCCAUACCCCUCCAACGAUCAUGUGUUUAUUGUCAUGACCAGUGUGUUUGUGGUCAUGGGAUCUGUGGCCUUGCUCUUGGCUGGUGUCUGUUGGAUCAGGUUGCAGAGAGGUGUGCGCCUGGCUCAGAAGGCAGACUACCCUGCUUAUGGUGGUACGGGGCCCCAUUCCUAUGACAACAAUGUGCCUGGGGAUAAGAGGCUGGCUCAGAGUGCCCAGAUGUACCACUACCAACACCAGAAACAGCAGAUGCUCUCCCUGGAGAAACAACGGGAUGAGCCAAAGGUGCCUGACUCUGUGGCCACGUCAGAUGAGGAGAAUGAGGAUGGGGACUUCACGGUGUACGAGUGUCCUGGAUUGGCCCCAACGGGGGAAAUGGAGGUGAAGAAUCCUUUGUUUGAUGAUUCCACCCUUCAGCGGAGCCACAAUAAACCACCCUCCCGGACUAGAGGGUAAUUAACACACCAACCCUGAGAGACGAACAACCUCUUUUACUACUACUGGGAUUGUUGAACAUGAUGAUGCAUGAAGACAUAUCAGAAAAAUGGGAAAAGAAACGGGGGUUGACCCAGAAGGACUUGGGAGGAGAGAGAACAGCCUCAAUUGGUGUGAUCUGGAAAAACCCUGAACCAAGUGUGAUGGAGGACAUUCAUCAACUGCCUAUUCUCCCCAUAAGAGCCAAGGG